rnacentral:misc_RNA from 1 species
GAUGAAGAACGUAGCGAAAUGCGAUACGUAAUGUGAAUUGCAGAAUUCAGUGAAUCAUCGAGUCUUUGAACGCACAUUGCGCCCCCUGGUAUUCCGGGGGGCAUGCCUGUCCGAGCGUCAUUGCUGCCCUCAAGCACGGCUUGUGUGUUGGGCCCCCGCCCCCCGGCUUCGGGGGGCGGGCCCGAAAGGCAGCGGCGGCACCGCGUCCGGUCCUCGAGCGUAUGGGGCUUCGUCACCCGCUCUGUAGGCCCGGCCGGCGCCCGCCGGCGACCCCAAUCAAUCUUUCCAGGUUGACCUCGGAUCAGGUAGGGAUACCCGCUGAACUUAAGCAUAUCAAUAAGCGGAGGA